CUAAAUACAUAUUGUUUGCAAUAACUUUGGAUUUUUUCUGAAAGUUGUAAGCUUAGCUUGAGCAAAAUUUCUUAUUGGUGGCUUUAGGGGAUUUCCUUUAGGCAUUAUUUGAAGACAUAUGAGGACAUCUUCCGUUGGUUCUAACUAUAUUAUGCUACAUUUUUUGUAUUGUUAUAAAACAUCUUAAGUUAUUGUAUGUGUUUUAAACAAUUAUUGUAUGGAAGGAGUUUGAAUUGGAUACUUGUUUUAAUUUUAACUUGUGGAAUGUAUGGAUCGAUUUUUUAUAAA